UACGUAGGGUGCGAGCGUUAAUCGGAAUUACUGGGCGUAAAGCGUGCGCAGGCGGUCGUACAAGUCGCGUGUGAAAGCCCCCGGCUCAACUGGGGAGGGUCACGCGAUACUGUUCGACUCGAAGGCAGGAGAGGGAAGCAGAAUUCCCGGUGUAGUGGUGAAAUGCGUAGAUAUCGGGAGGAAUACCAGUGGCGAAGGCGGCUUCCUGGCCUGUUCUUGACGCUGAGGCGCGAAAGCUAGGGUAGCAAACGGG
rnacentral:rRNA from 1 species